UACGAAGGGGGCUAGCGUUGCUCGGAAUCACUGGGCGUAAAGCGCACGUAGGCGGAUUGUUAAGUCAGGGGUGAAAUCCUGGAGCUCAACUCCAGAACUGCCUUUGAUACUGGCGAUCUCGAGUCCGGGAGAGGUGAGUGGGACUGCGAGUGUAGAGGUGAAAUUCGUAGAUAUUCGCAAAAACACCAGUGGCGAAGGCGGCUCACUGGCCCGGUACUGACGCUGAGACGCGAAAGCGUGGGGAGCGAACAGG
rnacentral:rRNA from 1 species